UAUAUGGGUAUGUAUUUGAAAUUUGGAUUGCAAUUCUCUUCUUUUUCUGAAGAUUCAUAGCUGGUAAUUUAUGUGGAUUGAGGUGAAGAAAUAUGAUUAUCAUCGAUUAUGGUUGUGCAUUUAGUCCAUAUACUAAUUUUAUUCAACUAUUUUAGAUAUUUGAUGCUAUUAGAGUAUUUUGGUCGAUUCAUAUUCUGUUGAGCACUCUAUACAAAUGGCUUUUCUGGUUAUUGUUAUAUACAUAUCCUAUUUGAUUCUGCUAAUCAAAAGUCUUGGUUUUAUGUGAAGCAUGUUCGCUCUUUACUAGUUUUUAAGAAAUACAAAUUGAGGUCGCUUCAAUUAGUGCUUUAUCCUUUAUAUUUGGAAAUAAAUUCAAUGCUUUAUUGCACAUAAGUUUUUGCUCAUUUGCAAUGCUGCAACAACGGCCAUCUGAUUUGGUGUUUCAGUAAUUCUUGACUUUGUUUUUCUUUAUGUUUGCUUGGUUUUGUGUUCUCCUCUGUUUUGUAGCUAGCAUGCUGGUUAAUACUGUUUGUAUCCUUAAAUAGUUUAUGUGCUUCCAAAUAUAUGUUUUCAGCCAUAAUUUAUUGGCAUGUGCAGGUAUGUUCUGAGUAGCAUAAAGUUUCUACUCUCUCCUCCUUUGAAGUCUUGACUUGUGAGCAACUGCAAAUUAUGGUGAUUAUUUCUUGUUACAAACCCAAAGGCAAGAAAUAUUUCAUUUAAAUAAGUUUCUGCAUUAUAUUCUCCUUUUUGUGUUAUGAAGUACAAAGAAGAUGGUGUAGAAUUUAUUGGUUCAUUGUACUUCACCAGUGAAGGAGAAGAUCUGCCAUGGCUUUCUGUUGAAGAGUCAUUGCUGGGAGGGUUGAGUCAAGGUCAUGCAGUCAUGCUCACAGUGUCGGGUUGCCUCUGCUCGCAAUGAAUUUGAUUCCUUGGCUCAUAACAAGGUCUAUCCAUACAUAUUAUCUAACACACAUGGUAAUGUCUAGGUGGCCUUAUUAGAAGGGAAUUAAUGGAUUCUGUAACAGACUAUGAACCAGGAAUGAUCAUUCACCCAAACAAGGAAUGAACAAUCUCAAAUUAAAAGUUCUCUUGAUGCAGUGCUCUCACGAUGGGGCAUGUCCUUUGGAGAAAGCAGGUAAAUAUUGUCAUUUUGUUCAAUGUUUGGAGAGAACUUCUACACAGCUUGCAUACAAGGUUCUUUCUUAAUUCAUAUGUUGUUUUAUCUUUUGAAAGAUUUAUCUAGUUACCAUAUUAUUUGAACCUAAGCAGUUAGUAUUGGCAUUAGAGGCAGACAUCAAAUUGUUGGACAUAUCCAAUUGCUAGAUACUUGUACAAGGGGAACCUCAUGGGACCAGAGUCUGCAGGAGGUUAAUAUAAUCAUUCCAGUGCCUGCUGGAACUAAGUCAAGGGAUAUUGUUUAUGAGGCAAAGAAGAACAGUGUAAAGUUUGGACUGGACUGAAGGGUCGGUCUCUUAUAAUUGAUCAAAAAAUACUCUUAUCAAGUGCAGGGAAGAAAACGGUGGAGUACACAGUGCCAUUAGCAGAGAAGACUAAAGACAUGGCCAUGUUUGCAGGUAAGACCACUCUGCAUUAUGUUGGUCAUGUUGCGGUGGAUUUGAAGGACAAGGCCACUGUGGUAGGUUGGACUGCAGCGCACUACGCAACUGAGGCAGCAGUGGAGGGAACCAAAGCAGCUGCAAGGUUGGAGCUCAAAUGCACAGCAAGGAGGGCAGGAAUGGAGCUCAAAUGCACAGCAAGGGAGGCAGGGGGGAUACUAGAACAUGAUCUACUUAGUGUUUAGUUGUAGAACAGACUAAAUCUUUUGUUAAUACAAUGAUCAUUUCAACUAUAUUUUCUAUGCUUUUGAAUUUAGUACUUAAAUAACGUUGUGUUAGUUCCAAAACCGC